rnacentral:rRNA from 1 species
AUGAACGCUGGCGGCGUGCCUAAUACAUGCAAGUCGAGCGAACAGACGAGGAGCUUGCUCCUCUGACGUUAGCGGCGGACGGGUGAGUAACACGUGGAUAACCUACCUAUAAGACUGGGAUAACUUCGGGAAACCGGAGCUAAUACCGGAUAAUAUAUUGAACCGCAUGGUUCAAUAGUGAAAGACGGUUUUGCUGUCACUUAUAGAUGGAUCCGCGCCGCAUUAGCUAGUUGGUAAGGUAACGGCUUACCAAGGCGACGAUGCGUAGCCGACCUGAGAGGGUGAUCGGCCACACUGGAACUGAGACACGGUCCAGACUCCUACGGGAGGCAGCAGUAGGGAAUCUUCCGCAAUGGGCGAAAGCCUGACGGAGCAACGCCGCGUGAGUGAUGAAGGUCUUCGGAUCGUAAAACUCUGUUAUUAGGGAAGAACAAAUGUGUAGUAACUAUGCACGUCUUGACGGUACCUAAUCAGAAAGCCACGGCUAACUACGUG